rnacentral:rRNA from 1 species
UUAACUGAAUACAUAGGGUAAGGAGGCGAACCGGGGGAACUGAAACAUCUAAGUACCCCGAGGAAAAGAAAUCAACCGAGAUUCCGAAAGUAGCGGCGAGCGAAAUUGGACUAGCCCUUAAGCUUUACACGCGUUAGACGAACGGUCUGGAAAGUCCGACGAUACAGGGUGAUAGUCCCGUAGUUGACGACGUGUGUUCAGUGAAAUCGAGUAGGGCGGGACACGUGAUAUCCUGUCUGAAUAUGGGGGGACCAUCCUCCAAGGCUAAAUACUACUGACUGACCGAUAGUGAACCAGUACCGUGAGGGAAAGGCGAAAAGAACCCCUGUGAGGGGAGUGAAAUAGAACCUGAAACCGUGUACGUACAAGCAGUAGGAGCAGGCUUUGUCCUGUGACUGCGUACCUUUUGUAUAAUGGGUCAGCGACUUAUAUUCAGUGGCAAGGUUAACCAUCUAGGGGAGCCGUAGGGAAACCGAGUCUUAACUGGGCGUUCAGUCUCUGGAUAUAGACCCGAAACCAGGUGAUCUAGCCAUGGGCAGGUUGAAGGUUGAGUAACAUCAACUGGAGGACCGAACCGACUAAUGUUGAAAAAUUAGCGGAUGACUUGUGGCUAGGGGUGAAAGGCCAAUCAAACCUGGAGAUAGCUGGUUCUCCCCGAAAGCUAUUUAGGUAGCGCCUCGGACGAAUACUACUGGGGGUAGAGCACUGUUAAGGCUAGGGGGUCAUCCCGACUUACCAACCCUUUGCAAACUCCGAAUACCAGUAAGUACUAUCCGGGAGACACACGGCGGGUGCUAACGUCCGUCGUGGAGAGGGAAACAACCCAGACCGCCAGCUAAGGUCCCAAAUUACUACUAAGUGGGAAACGAUGUGGGAAGGCUCAGACAGCCAGGAUGUUGGCUUAGAAGCAGCCAUCAUUUAAAGAAAGCGUAAUAGCUCACUGGUCGAGUCGGCCUGCGCGGAAGAUGUAACGGGGCUAAGUAGUAAACCGAAGCUGCGGCAAUAUACUUUUGUAUAUUGGGUAGGGGAGCGUUCUGUAAGCGGUUGAAGGUGUGUGGUAACGCAUGCUGGACGUAUCAGAAGUGCGAAUGCUGACAUGAGUAACGAUAAAGGGGGUGAAAAACCUCCUCGCCGGAAGACCAAGGGUUCCUGUCCAACGUUAAUCGGGGCAGGGUAAGUCGACCCCUAAGGCGAGGCCGAAAGGCGUAGUCGAUGGGAAACGGGUUAAUAUUCCCGUACUUCUUACAAUUGCGAUGGGGGGACGGAGAAGGCUAGGUGGGCCUGGCGACGGUUGUCCAGGUUCAAGUGCGUAGGCUUAAGAGUUAGGUAAAUCCGGCUCUUUUUAAGGCUGAGACACGACGUCGAGCUACUACGGUAGUGAAGUCAUUGAUGCCAUGCUUCCAGGAAAAGCCUCUAAGCUUCAGAUUGUAAGGAAUCGUACCCCAAACCGACACAGGUGGUCGGGUAGAGAAUACCAAGGCGCUUGAGAGAACUCGGGUGAAGGAACUAGGCAAAAUGGUACCGUAACUUCGGGAGAAGGUACGCUCUCGACGGUGAAGUCCCUUGCGGAUGGAGCUAUUGAGAGUCGCAGAUACCAGGUGGCUGCAACUGUUUAUUAAAAACACAGCACUGUGCAAAAUCGUAAGAUGACGUAUACGGUGUGACGCCUGCCCGGUGCCGGAAGGUUAAUUGAUGGGGUUAGACUUCGGUCGAAGCUCUUGAUCGAAGCCCCGGUAAACGGCGGCCGUAACUAUAACGGUCCUAAGGUAGCGAAAUUCCUUGUCGGGUAAGUUCCGACCUGCACGAAUGGCGUAAUGAUGGCCACGCUGUCUCCACCCGAGACUCAGUGAAAUUGAAAUCGCUGUGAAGAUGCAGUGUACCCGCGGCUAGACGGAAAGACCCCGUGAACCUUUACUACAGCUUGGCACUGAACAUUGACCCUACAUGUGUAGGAUAGGUGGGAGGCUUUGAAGCAGGUACGCCAGUAUCUGUGGAGCCGUCCUUGAAAUACCACCCUUGUAGUGUUGAUGUUCUAACGUCGACCCCUUAUCGGGGUUGCGGACAGUGCCUGGUGGGUAGUUUGACUGGGGCGGUCUCCUCCCAAAGAGUAACGGAGGAGCACGAAGGUGGGCUAAUCACGGUUGGACAUCGUGAGGUUAGUGCAAUGGCAUAAGCCCGCUUGACUGCGAGAAUGACAAUUCGAGCAGGUGCGAAAGCAGGUCAUAGUGAUCCGGUGGUUCUGAAUGGAAGGGCCAUCGCUCAACGGAUAAAAGGUACUCCGGGGAUAACAGGCUGAUACCGCCCAAGAGUUCAUAUCGACGGCGGUGUUUGGCACCUCGAUGUCGGCUCAUCACAUCCUGGGGCUGAAGUCGGUCCCAAGGGUAUGGCUGUUCGCCAUUUAAAGUGGUACGCGAGCUGGGUUUAGAACGUCGUGAGACAGUUCGGUCCCUAUCUGCCGUGGGCGUUGGAAGAUUGAAGGGGGCUGCUCCUAGUACGAGAGGACCGGAGUGGACGAACCUCUGGUGUUCGGGUUGUGUCGCCAGACGCAUUGCCCGGUAGCUAAGUUCGGAAUCGAUAACCGCUGAAAGCAUCUAAGCGGGAAGCGAGCCCUGAGAUGAGUCUUCCCUGAUACUUUAAGUAUCCUAAAGGGUUGUCGGAGACUACGACGUUGAUAGGUCAGGUGUGUAAGUGCUGUGAGGCAUUGAGCUAACUGAUACUAAUUGCCCGUGAGGCUUAACCAUACAACACCCAAGGGGUUU